CGUAACCCGUUUGAUUUAUUUUAAAAAUAAUCUGAUCAAAUAAAAUUAGAUGCAAUAUAAAUUCGCGAUGUAGAGUCAGUGUUGAUACAUAUUCUUCAUGAUCCUAGGACAGAAAGGUCAUCGUGCAAAAGAUCAACAAAGACUGGUUCAAUAAAAGAAGAAUCAUUCGUUAUCGUUCUGAGGCAGAAUGCUCAUCGUGCAAAGGAUCAGCAAAAACUAGUAACAAAAGAAUUUGUAGAUAAUAAAAGACAUAGGAAGGACGGGGCAAAUCUACCUAAAGAAAGUAUACUUUCUUUACAUAUAUAUCGCCAAUUAUUCAUCUAAGAGAAGUCUUUGGUUAUCUCCCUUUCUUCUAUCUUUGAUACGGCAACGGAUAUGUCGCGGAUGCACUAGCAAGUAACUUGCAACAUUUCUUGCAAGAGAAACUUUUGUGACAUGUGUAACAAAAUAUGCGUAAACAUAUCUUAAAUAAUAACUGUUAUUUCUAACUUCCAACGAUGUCCAAAAUAUUUUAUGAGAAGUCGUGCGCUAAAGAUAAUGGAAAAAAAGAGUUGAGCGAAGGAAGGGAUACUUAGAUAGAUUUCAUGAUGGAUAUAUUUUUCCGAAUUUUGGGAAAUGAAAAGCAAAAAUUAUCGGAGUAUAAUACAAAAACGGAAUGUCUUACAUAAUCUUUCGAGUGAAUUUUAUAUCAGUGAAAAUGUAAUUACACAAUUUACAUACACAUUUCUAUCAGGAAUUGAGAAAAAUAUAAGUAAAAUAUAGCGAUAAUAAGAUAGAUGAUGUAUAUUCGAAUAAUCGAAAUUAUUUCUAUGCCGUAAUGUUUGUUCAUGAAAAAGACUCAGAUAAAAGAACUCUAACAAUUUGUGGGAUGUCAGCAAUAAUUUGAUCACAAUUGAUGACCUCGACGUGAUCUUUGUGCAUCAAGAGUUCCUACAAAAGGAAAAAUGUAUCGGUGUCAGCCAUACUGCCUCAUCAUAAAAUUCAUGCCUCAUGUUCAUAACACUUGAAAAAGAAUCACGAACAUCGGACGCCAUGUUAGGAGCCAACAGUAUACAUACAGACUGAAAUAUCGGACAGUCUCUAAGGCCCUCGAUCAAGACAUGAUCGAGUUGAUUUCAAACGUGAUACAACAGAAUUCAGCGUGAACUUGAAUCCAAUAUCCAUGAAUCAGUAACAACGGCAAGUUAAACACAGAAGAUACAGAUGACAAAGGAACUCAUUCUGAACAAAAAAAUCAAAAUAACAACGGACAAAUGACGCCACGAAACAUUGCGACAGCUUCUUCCAUCGCACCAGCGUCAAUAACAGGAACAAUAGCAGGCAAUACUUCUGGUAUGUAGAACCUGUACAAUUAUAAUCAAUCACCAGGCUAUAACAGUAUAUUGCAUGACAAAUAUUAUUCGAUGAGUAAACUUAAAUUUGCGGCGUUCACCAAAAUUCGACCGGAUCUCUGGUUCAUCAUAGCUGAGGCUGAAUUCACUACUUUUGGAAUCGUUGAUGAUAAAGUAAAAUACCUGACGGUCCUUGAGGCCCUGAUUUCAGACGUGAUACAACAGGAGUUCGCUACAGAACACCUUCUCAGCUACUGCGACAAAUACGCGAAUUGGCUGAUGGUUACGCUGAUGAUACCAUAUUGCAACAACUUUGGCUUGAACGAAUACCAACAUAUAUCAAACCCUAUCUGAUUACCACAAGUAAACUUCCACUUGAUGCUAUAGCCGAGUAUGCGGGCCGUUUUUACAAGCUGAUGCCUUACGUUCAACAGAAUAACCAGGUUAUGUAUGGCAAUCUUUACACGCUAUUUUGCAUCACCGACUCUUUAUGACAUUGACUCGAAGUUCAUAGAUAUUAAAAAAUCUUUUGUGAUGGAGUUCAAUGAGUUCAUAUCACAAUUGAUUCUACUGCAACAACAAAACCAAAAACUGCAAGCUUGGCAAUCUCCGAAGCAUCAUAAUCGCACCAGUUCAAGAUCAUCGACACCUAUUCGUAAUAGAAUCUCCUAUUAUCACCAAAGUUUUGGCAGAGAAGCAAAACGCUGCCUUUUACCGUAUAAAUUCGCUUCUAUGACAACCUGACAACAACAAAUUAGGGAAACUAAUUCGUCGCUGUCAUUUGUAAGAGCAGUAAAAGACAGCAACUCCAGACUAAAAGAGCUCGGACUACACUAUCAAACAGAAAUUCUUGAUUGACUCUGGAUCGGUCGUGUCCAUAAUAUCUGCAAAAAAGUUUCAUAAAAAUAGAAAUACCGACUCACACUUUAUGCUGCAACUUCAUUACAAAUAUACGGCACUAAAAUUAUCAACCUUGAUUUAAAUCUCCGCAGAGAUUUUUGCUGGUCCUUUAUCAUCGCAGACUGAAAUAGCAAUCAUCGGUACUGAUUUCUUAAUUUACUUUUUGAUUGAUAUAAAAUACCAACUAUUGAUAGAUAUAGUGUCUCAUCUCUUGUCAAAAGGUAAUGCAUUGGAAGCACAGCAUUACGGCAUCUCAUCUAUAAGUUCAGAUUUGUCCACUGAGUAUGCCGAACUUUUAAAACAAUUCGUUGAAAUCACUUGGUCGAUUAGCAAGACAUGCUGAAAUUUAAAAGCACGUCCAUUUGCGCACAAAAUUAUUACGCAUGGUCCAUUAGUCGUACUGCACGAGCACGUAAACUAGCAGGUGAAAAGGCAGCGGCGGCACAAACUCAAAUCAGAGAACUUCUGAACUCCGGAAUCAUUCAGCAGAAUAUACGCCAAUCCUAUUCAUCUGAUACGAUAGAUAGACAACACCUGGAGAACGCGCGGUGACUACAGUAAACUCAAUGAUGCUACUAAUCCUGACAUAUAGUUCUCCGCUCAAACUUUCUGUGUAUACACGAUAGAAAACAUUACAGCAAAAUCGACUGCGAAGAAGUAUAUCUACAACUACCUAUACACGUGGACAACAUUGAAAAACUGCUAUUAUAACACCUUGGGUUGAGUACUUAGAGACUUGGACUUCGUCUUCGUCUACGUGGAUUGCAUUCUGGUAUUCUCGGACGAUGAAGACUAAUAUCUGGAACACAUACACAUUGAACGCUUAAAAGACAACAACGUCGUUAUCAAUCUCAAAAACUUACUGUUCAACCAAAGAGUAAUAAACUUCCUGGGCUAUACCAUUAAUGAACAUGGUUACAUUACGACGUGCGAACGAGUUGAUGCCAUUAAAGGAUGUCAGAAACCUAAAACUAUCGCUGAACUUCGCAGAUUUCUCGGCAUGAUCAACUAUCCUUGCUGUAUACUUCAGGCAGUUCAGAUCAUGUUGCCUCACAUUUGGCGUGAUCCUUAAGGAUGCACUCAAAUGGUCUAAAGAAUAUCUUGCUUGCCAAAGAGGAAAAAUUCACCGUCACAAUAAGAUCAAGCCAAUCCACAUAGACAUACUUGA